GCCUGGAACUGCCGAACUGCCCCCAAGAAACACGGGGCAGUGGAGCGGUGGUGGCAGCAGCAACGGACAUGUGGUGCUUGGGGGGUGGAGCUGGACAGGGUCAGGACCCUACACGCUGCAACCCUGCGUGGGGCUGAGCAGCCACAUGGAGCCGGAACUGCUUGCAGGGCACACAGAUUAGGGCACGGCAUUAGAGCCGACCCCGCACGGACCUGGAGCAUGGUAUGAGAGUUAUGUAAAGCUGACCCACUUUUCAGUUCUGGUGUGAAGCAAGACCUAACACUGCAGAAGAGCAAAGAUUUUCAUGGCCACAAUAAUCUAUUCAGAGAUUCAGAUGUGACAAAAUCCCAACAAUCAGGGUCUUCACAAUUCUUUUUGCGUGAACUGGGACCAUCAACAGCUACCUUUGUGCCACACCAUCCUGCCUUGGAGCCAGCAGAGUAUGGACUGAAACCUUCAAAAGUGUUUCAUUAGAUUCUGAUGCUAUUGAAAGGAAGCAUUUUUGAUAAACUAAUUCCUUCCCUGAAAUCAUAGCUUUUUCAGACAAUAUUCUCAGAAGAGUGAAUGAUCCAAACGAAAUACCUUGUCAUGUGUCUGGAAAAGUCAUUCAAAUAGCAACACAAGAGAAAAUAUUGUGUGUUUAGUCACAGAGGGAAUCAUGUGAGACUGUAAGUGUGGGAAGCCGCCUGAGAUGGCGCCCAUUUCCUGCUUCCGGGUUCUUCCCGGCCUGAACAAGCCCGCCAAAUUGUCAUGUCUGCCCAGUUACCCGUGACGCUAGCCUAUCAGCUUGUUAGGCGCACUUCUCUGUGAUUGGAUACUGCUUCCCCUUAUAAGAGGUUGUUCCUGCCCCCAACGGCGGAAGAGGAAUCAACGUUGAGGGUGGCGGACCUUGUUAGGUCCGGUUCGCUGUACGCAAUAAAGUUUGAGAGCUGA